AUGCCAUGAUGCGGGCAUUUUCUAAGUAACUCCUUGAACCUCUCCCAAGCAUCACAUACAGAUUCAUCCUCCAACUGUUGAAAAGAAAUAAUUUCAUUCCGGAACUU